AAUGGUGUAGCUCAGUGGUAGAGCGGUUGACUGUUAAUCAGCUGGUCGGUGGUUCGAAUCCACCCACCAUCGCCA
rnacentral:tRNA from 2 species